rnacentral:rRNA from 1 species
CCUACGGGAGGCAGCAGUGGGGAAUAUUGGACAAUGGGCGAAAGCCUGAUCCAGCAAUGCCGCGUGAGUGAUGAAGGCCUUAGGGUUGUAAAGCUCUUUUACCAGGGAUGAUAAUGACAGUACCUGGAGAAUAAGCUCCGGCUAACUCCGUGCCAGCAGCCGCGGUAAUACGGAGGGAGCUAGCGUUGUUCGGAAUUACUGGGCGUAAAGCGUACGUAGGCGGUUAUUCAAGUCAGAGGUGAAAGCCUGGAGCUCAACUCCAGAACUGCCUUUGAAACUAGGUAGCUAGAAUCACGGAGAGGUUAGUGGAAUUCCGAGUGUAGAGGUGAAAUUCGUAGAUAUUCGGAAGAACACCAGUGGCGAAGGCGACUAACUGGACGUGUAUUGACGCUGAGGUACGAAAGCGUGGGGAGCAAACAGGAUUAGAUACCCUGGUAGUCCACGCCGUAAACGAUGAUAACUAGCUGUUCGGUCUCUACGAGACUGAGUGGCGCAGCUAACGCAUUAAGUUAUCCGCCUGGGGAGUACGGUCGCAAGAUUAAAACCUCAAAGGAAUUGACGG